UUGGAGUUCGAUUAAGCCAUGCGAGUCGUGAGUCCUAGGGACUCGGCGUACCGCUCAGUAACACGUGGGUAACCUGCCCUAUGCUGGGGAAUAACCUCGGGAAACUGAGAAUAAUGCCCCAUAGUUCACCACACCUGGAACGGUGGGUGGAUGAAAGCUCCGGCGGCAUAGGAUGGGCCUGCGGCGUAUCAGGUUGUAGGGGGUGUAAUGUACCCUCUAGCCAUCUACGCGUACGGGUGUUGAGAGACAUCGCCCGGAGAUGGAUUCUGAGACACGAAUCCAGACCCUACGGGGUGCAGCAGGCGCGAAAACUUGGCAAUGCGAGCAAUCGUGACCAGGGAACUCCAAGUGCAUCGGGUAAGACCGAUGCUUUUCUUGACUCUUCAAAGGUCUUGGAAUAAGGGGUGGGUAAGGACGGUGCCAGCCGCCGCGGUAAUACCGGCGCCUCAAGUGGUAGUCGCUUUUAUUGGGCCUAAAACGUCCGUAGCCGGUUUGGUACAUUCGUGGGUAAAUCAAGACGCUCAACGUCUUGAAUUCUGCGAGCACGGCCAGACUUGGGACCGGGUGAGGUGUGGGGUACUCUCAGGGUAGGGGUAAAAUCCUGUCAUCCUGAGAGGACCACCUGUUGCGAAGGCGCCACACUAGAACGGAUCCGACGGUCAGGGACGAAGCCUAGGGGCACGAACCGGAUUAGAUACCCGGGUAGUCCUAGGUGUAAACGCUGUGGACUUGAUGUUGGGAGUGCUCCGAGCGCCCUCAGUGUCGAAGCGAAGGUGAUAAGUCCACUGCCUGGGGAGUACGGUCGCAAGGCUGAAACUUAAAGGAAUUGGCGGGGGAGCACUGCAACCUGAGGAUUGUGCGGUUUAAUUGGAUUCAACGCCGGA
rnacentral:rRNA from 1 species